CCUACGGGCGGCAGCAGUAGGGAAUCUUUCACAAUGGGCGAAAGCCUGAUGGAGCAACGCCGCGUGCAGGAUGAAGGCCUUCGGGUUGUAAACUGCUUUUAUAAGCGAGAAAUAUGAUGGUAACUUAUGAAUAAGGAUCGGCUAACUACGUGCCAGCAGCCGCGGUCAUACGUAGGAUCCGGGCAUUAUCCGGGGUGACUGGGUGUAAAGAGUUGCGUAGGUGGCAUAAUAAGUAGCUAGUGGAAUCUGGUGGCUCAACCAUUCAGACUAUUAGCUAAACUGUUAAGCUCGAGACCGUUAGGGGUAGCUGGAAUUUCUAGUGUAGGGGUGAAAUCCGUAGAUAUUAGAAGGAACACCAAUAGCGUAGGCAGGUUGCUGGGACGGUUCUGACACUAAGGCACGAAAGCGUAGGGAGCAAACGGGAUUAGAUACCCCAGUAGUC
rnacentral:rRNA from 1 species